CAGUGAUGAGCUCAUACCCUUCCCUGGGCUGGCCCAAGGACACAAGCGGGCACAGGGCUGAGGUGGGGCUCCUCAUGGAGGUGGGCGGGGGGCAUGCUUUGCAGCCUCUGUCAUCCCCCAGUGGCGCCGCUGCUCUUGGCCACACCUGCCAUACUCAGCUCCGACCUUGCAGAGCUUGCUGCAUGGCCCCACAUUUUUAAACAGAGCUUUCUCCCAAGUUGCAGGAGCUUUUGUUACCCAGCACAGCGGUGGGGGCUGCUCAUGGUGUGCAGAGUGACUCCAACAACGAGGAAAGUGACCGGGUAAGUGUGGUAGCCUCCUGACCUGCGAAUGAAGAACCCGGAGGAUGUGGAGGCUGGUUCUACAAAGUGCCUCAGGGUGACUGCUGUUCAGAUGAACCAAAUCAUCAAUGCGCCCUUAUCUACUCUUCUUCGUCACUUUUGCUUCCUGCCACCCCCUCACAGGGGAGCUGCCUGUCCUGAGCACAGGAACCGCAUCGGAGGGAACCCAAGCUAAGCCAGGAGUGUCUGUUCUAACACGUGCCAUUUGGGAUCCCUUGGAAUCUUCAUGUACAGAACUGGUUGCUGCCUCGUUGAGUCGGUGGGGACAGAAUAGCUCCUGGUUGACAGCAUGGGUUGUGCAGAAGGACGGAUCCUGCAGACAUCAAUAUCUGGCUUUGAGUGGCACAAAGAAAUAAAGGAAUGUGGAUUCAGACCUCACUGGGAUGCUUGGCAAUUCUAAUUCUACCCCAGACUGCAAAUGGACACACAACUGUUGUGACUUUUGUUGAAGAGGAGAAGGAUGGUGAAGGUCUCUUUAGUCAAUAAUCUCUUUGCUGAAAUUGCUUCGGGCAGCACAGAAGCUGGAUUCAGAAGCACACAGGUCUGGGGAUGCAGGCUUCGGCCAGCCUGAUGCAAGGAAAGACUGCCAUCUCGUGGUCAGCUCAAUCCUGGCACCUUGGUGAGGGACCAGGCUGCAGAAAACCAGGCUUGGGGAGGAAACGGUGCUGCAAACUGGAUUUCUGCCGGACAGUGUGGAUGCCCUUAGAAAACACCCAGAAAAGAGCUGAGUGCCCCCCAAGGUAGGCUUCAGUGAAUCCUCUGCAGGUGUGUUGUCAUCCCUUGAGCCAAACACAUGCUUCACACACACGCUGCAGGCUGCGUGAAAAUGAGGUAGAAAUGUGGGGAAAACAUAAUCCCAUGGAGAGAACAAAGAGCUGAACACGUAAAUGCCUCCGGCGUGCCUGGCAGAGAGAACACUCAGGCUGAGAGAAGGGACAGUGACUUGUACCAAAGGUAGGCAAGUAGCCUCUGGGGUCUCAAUCAGCAGGGCAUCUGGUCAACCCUUCAGACAAAGUCAGGUCUGAGCAGGCAAGAUCCAUGGAUCUGAUUUAUUAAUAUUUUUACAAUUAAAUAGAAUCUGAUUGUAAAACUGUUACAUGUGUUGUAAGAAAAAAAGAAAAAAAGGAAGGAUAUAGAAAUGUACAAAGAAGGAAAUAAAAGACUGGAAGCGUCCUCACCUUAGGGACCCAUUAUUAACGCUUAGGUGGCCAAUCUUCCAGACAUCUUGCUACGAAUAUAUUCAAACGGGAAUUAAAAAUGUACUUUUACACAA
rnacentral:lncRNA from 1 species